rnacentral:rRNA from 1 species
GAUGAACGCUGGCGGUGUGCCUAACACAUGCAAGUCGAGCGAACGGACGAGCAUCUUUUUCUACUGAUGUUAGCGGCGGACGGGCGAGUACCACGUGGAUAACCUACUUAUAUGACUGGGAUAAAUUCGGGAAACCGGAGCUAAUACCGGCUAAUAUCUUGAACCGUAUGGUUCAAAAGUGAAAGACGGUCUUGCUGUCACUUAUAGAUGCAUCCGCGCUGCAUUAGAUAGUUGGUAAGGUAACGGCUUACCAAGGCAACGAUGCAUAGCCGACCGGAGAGGGUGGGCGGCCACACUGGAACGGAGACACGGUCCAGACUCCUACGGGAGGCAGCGGUAGGGAAUCGUCCACAAUGGGCGAAAGCCGGGCGGAGCAACGCCGCGUGGGUGAUGAAGGGCUUCGGAUAGUAAAACUCUGUUAUUAGGGAAGAACAUAUGUGUAAGUAACUGUGCACAUCUUGACGGUACCUAAUCAGAAAGCCACGGCUAACUACGUG